CCUACGGGAGGCAGCAGUGGGGAAUAUUGCGCAAUGGGCGAAAGCCUGACGCAGCGACGCCGCGUGCGGGAUGGAGGCCUUCGGGUUGUAAACCGCUUUUGUUCAAGGGCAAGGCACGGUCUUUGGCCGUGUUGAGUGGAUUGUUCGAAUAAGCACCGGCUAACUACGUGCCAGCAGCCGCGGUAAUAUGUAGGGUGCAAGCGUUAUCCGGAAUUACUGGGCGUAAAGCGCUCGUAGGCGGUAUGUCAAGUCAAGGGUGAAAUCCCCGCGCUCAACGUGGGAACUGCCUUUGAAACUGGCAAACUGGAGUGUGUGAGAGGAUAGUGGAAUUCCAGGUGUAGGAGUGAAAUCCGUAGAUAUCUGGAGGAACAUCAGUGGCGAAGGCGACUAUCUGGCACAUAACUGACGCUGAGGAGCGAAAGCGUGGGUAGCAAACAGGAUUAGAUACCCCGGUAGUC
rnacentral:rRNA from 1 species